ACAACAUUUCUCUUCUCCAAACUGGGCACUUUACCCACACCUGAGCCAAGCAGCCAGCAGACCUAAAUAGCCAGAUCACUUGCAUUCAGUAAGGCUCUGCUGCCCUUAACUAUGUGCUCUGUCCCAGAGGAGGUGAGUGCUGAAGCAAGUGGGGCCCAUGUGGUCACAGCGUACCUGUGCGUCGCCAGUGAAGUUGCCUGCAGUUCUGCCCAGAGGCAGCCCGAGUACAACUAAAACCCCGGGCCGUUACAUACAAAGUAAACACAAGAGGCUCUGAAAGGGGAAAAGGAGGCAGAUGAUGAGGGACUUCAGGAACAGAAGAGCUGCCUGAUGCUACCACCUCGGUCCAGCUACCACUGCUUCUUGCCUGGGUAACUGCAGCAGCCCCUUAAGUGGUUUCCCCUCAUGGUUCAUCGUUCUGCUCUCAACACAGCAGCCAAAGUGACCUUGCUGACACAAAGCCCAUCAUGUUACUCCUCUAACCCAAACUCUCCAAACUCAAGAGUAAAAACUAAGUCCUAAGCCAGGUUUUACAUGAGCUAUUCCACCUGCUCCCCAAUGUCCAAUACCUAUUUCACAUUCUCUCUCACUCCUGUUCUCUUCGUUCAAUCUUCUCUACCCAGAUUAGCUUCCUUGGUCUUCCUACAAGAUAACAGACGUGUUCCUUCCUCAUGGCCUUUGCACUUCUAGUACUCCUACUCUAGGAAUGAAUACGUUUACUCUCCUACUCCAUUCAUGUUAGAUUUGGACAUAGGAAUUGAUUUAGCCAGUGCAAUGAUACAUGGGAACUUUAAACAUACUUUCAUGGUUUGGUGUGCCUCCUGAACUCUUGGUGAUUUACCAUGAGAGAACAUGCCCCAGCUGGCUGCUGGUGUCUAUGGAGAAGGAAGAAAUGUAGACCAGAUCUGAAUCAGCCCACAGUCUGGACAUGAGUUCAGUGGACUCCUGGUCAGUCCAAUAUAGCCAUGAAAGUGAAAGUGAAAGUGAAGUCACUCAGUCGUGUCCGGCAUGGGAUUUUCCAGGCAAG